rnacentral:tRNA from 1 species
AGCGUUGUAGCUCAGUGGUAGAGCGUUUGCAAAGCAUGUGUGAGGCACUGGGUUUGAUUCUCAGCACCGCAU